GGCAAGGAACCGAAACCCCGGAAAGCCGAACCGCUAAUGAAGGAGGGCGACUUUAUAUGCGAAGCAGUGAGCAACCGUGUCAGAAACGGAGGAGGAAUUCUACACUCUGCCUCUCUGUGCCGCAGAGUUUCCUGGACUUCCAUGAAGCUGGUUCCAGGAGAAAGCCUUCCAAGAAGAGCAGCCCCAAAAUGCAAACACUUACAAGCCAAAUACAAGAUGUUCAUCUGCAUGAAAAGAAAAUCUCCAGCAUCAUGCACCUCACAGCAUCCCAAGCACCGUGAGCUGUUUGAUUCCAGGAGCUGACCUGGUGCAGUGCAGCUGGUUUCACGGUUGGGCUGUCCGCUUUUUGCUGAACCUUGGUCAGAGAUGGCAUACUGCUUACGGCAGAUCCUGGAGAAAUGAUGUGCCCUCCUGGGAAAUUAACCGUAUGAUCAACUACACUUGAAAUUCAGAAGAGCUGCAGAAGCUGCAGUUGUACAGCAAAACACCUCAGUGGCCCUGUGCAGAACAGCGUUUUCCUGCUGCCCCACCCACAGUGACAGGUAAGGAGUGUCCCCACAGAGUCAACUCCUGAAGUGGCCUCCUCCUCCACUUCCUUUCCCCCUCCUCAGGAGGCAUCCCUCCCUUAGGUCCCCAUUCCAUUGUAAUACACAGAUUAGCUGAUCUUUCCAGAAACCCGUCCAUUCUCACUCCAACCACUCAUCUGGGUUCUUUUCUUUUCCAGAUGUGUGAGACAAAGGAUGACUUCCUAGUUAAAAGAAUUUUAGGCAACAUGCAACAAGCAGGAGAUUUUUGUUUCUUUUGGCAACCCUGAACUUCUAUUUCAUAUGGCCGUUAGAGUAAUUAAGGGAUGUGAAAACACAGUCUGGGGUGUCCCUUCUCUGAUCCCCUGGGGUGGUCCCAAAGGCCAGGCAAAAGGCCUCUCCUCCCUUCCUCUGUCCCCUACCUCAGUGGGGAUGAAUUGUUAGAAUGAAUCUGUUAUAAUUAAGGUAGGAAUUAGUAAAUUUUCAAGUAAUCAACUCUUCAUCUGAAGUCUCAGAAAGCAUCAUAUGUCUACAUGUCUCCUCAUAUCAUUCCUAGCUCUGGAUAUGAGAGUUCUGAAGCAGCAGUUGUGUCCUAGAUUACACGCUGCCUUCCAUGAGUGCAGAUCAAGCAGGCUGACCAUGCAUUGCUAUUAAUCCUUGGCCCUAAGAACCCUAGUGGCUAUUCUGAUGUAGCUGGUCACUCCUGUUUUCUAACCCACCUAGGAAGAAAAUCACCUGGAAUAUGAGGACCAUGUUUUCUAACAAACAAAACAGAAACAAGAUACAUGGGCUGACAAAGGACGUGGCAACAGGAUGGAAUAUUUUAAAUCAGAUAGCAGUAUAUAAGGAGGGUGGCAGAGUGGCCCUUCUCAUGCCUACUCUUUGGUGUUGGAGAUAUAACCAUGAGAUACUUACACAAGGAAAGGAGUGAUCCCUUUUGAUUGAGUUCCGUAGGAAAACAUUUCUUUUUAUACAUAGAUCCUAGUGGAUGUAUCAUAUGAGAGUAAUGUUUCCUAUCACAGAGGAAACUCUGCUCCAAGAAUUGUACCAAAAUGUCACAACCAAACUAAAUAGUAUCCUUAAGAAUCCUCUAUUUUGGGAUCCUGAUGACUUUUGUAACAUAAAAGCUCAACUUUUUAAAAGUCAAAAAUUAAAUAGUUGUUGAUAAAUAAGCAUUUUCAUCUUUGUGUGUUUACGCAAAGUUGACAUGUCUUUCAACUCUUUUGAAA